AGCUGCCUCUAGGUCAAGGGUGUUCCAGGCUCUGGGGUGUUCACUUCCCCCACCCCCACCCCCGAGUUAGGAACAAACCCUUCAGCAUGAAGGGUGCUAAGUUAUCUGACUGCACUGUGGGGGAUUUUGUAAAUCCUGGGUCUUCUCCCAACCCCGUGGUGUGGCUGGAACUCACGGUUUCUCUGAAAUUUUGCCUCUUGCUGGACAUGGAACUACUGGACAACGGCUCCUUUGAUGGCCUGUGCAGAAGAUCCCAAGCUGUGAGGGCACUCCUGCCCCUAAAACAUGUGCUUUGCACAGUGAUUGCCCUCCCAAAGAUGCGGUGUGCACAAAAGAAAAGGGGAGAUUCUGCAACCUAGAAUCCUGAUGGACCCAGCCCGGAUGACCUAGGCCAGUACACCGUGUGUGAGCAUCAUAUCUCGCCCGUGCCUCGGACACGAUGUGGAGACUCCCUGCCUCCUUCCAAUACGCGUCACGCUACUCAAACCACUGGGGUUAAAUAUCAGAUCAGCUCUCACUGA